GUAGGUGGCAAGCGUUGUCCGGAAUUAUUGGGCGUAAAGCGCGCGCAGGCGGGUUCUUUAAGUCUGACGUGAAAGCCCACGGGCUCAACCGUGGAGGGUCAUUGGAAACUGGAGAACUUGAGUACAGAAGAGGAAAGCGGAAUUCCACGUGUAGCGGUGAAAUGCGUAGAGAUGUGGAGGAACACCAGUGGCGAAGGCGGCUUUCUGGUCUGUAACUGACGCUGAGGCGCGAAAGCGUGGGGAGCAAACAGGAUUAGAUACCCUGGUAGUCCACGCCGUAAACGAUGAGUGCUAAGUGUUAGGGGGUUUCCGCCCCUUAGUGCUGCAGCUAACGCAUUAAGCACUCCGCCUGGGGAGUACGGCCGCAAGGCUG
rnacentral:rRNA from 1 species